rnacentral:siRNA from 1 species
AACCAUUUGGAUGGAGAUGGUUC